GAGGUGGUAGCAUAAAUAGUGCGUUUUGCUUACAACAAAAAGGUGGCCGAUAGGCCUCUCCUUU
rnacentral:tRNA from 1 species